UCGGUUUUUUUUUUAAAGGCCAUCGAGGCCCAUUACCGCAACACAAACUUGCUUCCAUCUGUCUCUGUCCUUGGGCUAUUGUUUCUCCAUCUCGUAUUCCAAUCUCUGCUAAAUUCUUCUCCACCUUGUCAAUCCACCUUCGUUUCGGCCUGCCAAGUGGUCUUUUUCCCUGGGGUCACCAUUUUAAAACCUCUUUCAUAAGACCGUUUGACCUCCGUAAAUAACCGGCCCAUGCCAUUCUCCUAUUUUUUAAUACUGCUACUAUGUCUGGCUCUUCGUAUAAUUGUUGUAUUUCUAUGUUAUUUCUUUUCUCAUAUUGUCGUGUCAUGUUAUUUAUUUUUGGCCCAAAUAUUCUUCUUAAUAUUCUUCUUUCGAGCAUUGCUAAUUUG